rnacentral:rRNA from 1 species
AAGAUGGGGGGACCAUCCUCCAAGGCUAAAUACUCGUGAUCGACCGAUAGCGUACCAGUACUGUGAAGGAAAGGUUAAAAGAACCCCGGGAGGGGAGUGAAAUAGAUCCUGAAACCGCAUACAUACAAACAGUAGGAGCCUCGUUAAGGGGUGACUGCGUACCUUUUGCAUAAUGGGUCAGCGACUUACGUUUAAUGGCGAGCUUAACCGUAUAGGGGAGGCGCAGCGAAAGCGAGUUCGAACAGAGCGUUCAGUCGUUAGGCGUAGACCCGAAACCAGAUGAUCUAUCCAUGGCCAGGUUGAAGGUGUGGUAACACACACUGGAGGACCGAACCGACUAGUGUUGCAAAAUUAGCGGAUGAGCUGUGGAUAGGGGUGAAAGGCUAAACAAAUCUGGAGAUAGCUGGUUCUCCCCGAAAACUAUUGAGGUAGUGCCUCGUGUAUGACUCCAGGGGGUAGAGCACUGUUAUGGCUAGGGGGACAUGGCGUCUUACCAAACCAUGGCAAACUCCGAAUACUUGGAAGUUUGAGCACGGGAGACAGAGCACCGGGUGCUAACGUCCGGACUCAAGAGGGAAACAACCCAGACCGCCGGCUAAGGUCCCUAAUAUUGACUAAGUGGAAAACGAAGUGGAAAGGCUAAGACAGUCAGGAAGUUGGCUUAGAAGCAGCCAUCCUUCAAAGAAAGCGUAAUAGCUCACUGAUCGAGUCUUUCUGCGCGGAAGAUGUAACGGGGCUAAGUCAAUAACCGAAGCCGCGGAUUCACACUUAUGUGUGAGUGGUAGGGGAGCGUUCUGUAAGCCUGCGAAGGUGACUCGUAAGGGUUGCUGGAGGUAUCAGAAGUGCGAAUGCUGACAUGAGUAACGUUAAAGCGGGUGAAAAGCCCGCUCGCCGUAAGCCCAAGGUUUCCUGCUCUACGUUCAUCGGAGCAGGGUGAGUCGGCCCCUAAGGUGAGGCUGAGAAGCGUAACUGAUGGGAACAAGGUUAAUAUUCCUUGACCACCGCUGAAUGCGAAGGGGGGACGGAGUAUUGAAGAUCAUCCGGGUGUUGGAUAUCCCGGUUUGCGAGCGUAGGAGGCUGACAGGCAAAUCCGUCAGCGAAUCUCCGAGGCAAAGCAUCGAGCUCUCUUUUGAGCGAAGUGAUUGGAUGUGCUUCCAGGAAAAGCCUCUAAGCUCCAGUUCAGCGGGACCGUACCGCAAACCGACACUGGUGGGCGAGCUGAAUAUGCUCAGGCGCUUGAGAGAACUCAGGAGAAGGAACUCGGCAAAUUGACACCGUAACUUCGGGAUAAGGUGUGCCUUUGUAGCGUGGAGGGAGAAACACCCCGAGCGCGAAGAGGUCUCAGAUAAUCGGUGGCUGCGACUGUUUAUUAAAAACACAGCACUCUGCAAAGACGAAAGUCGACGUAUAGGGUGUGAUGCCUGCCCGGUGCUGGAAGAUUAAUUGAUGGGGUGCAAGCUCCUGAUCGAAGUCCCAGUAAACGGCGGCCGUAACUAUAACGGUCCUAAGGUAGCGAAAUUCCUUGUCGGGCAAGUUCCGACCUGCACGAAUGGCAUAACGAUGGCCACACUGUCUCCUCCUGAGACUCAGUGAAGUUGAAGUGUUUGUGAUGAUGCAAUCUCCCCGCGGCUAGACGGAAAGACCCCAUGAACCUUUACUGUAGCUUUGCAUUGGACUUUGAACCGAUCUGUGUAGGAUAGGCGGGAGCCUGUGAAACCACAACGCCAGUUGUGGCGGAGGCGUCCUUGAAAUACCGCCCUGAUUUGUUUGAGGUUCUAACCUGGGACAGUUAUCCUGUCCGGGGACCGUGCAUGGUAGGCAGUUUGACUGGGGCGGUCUCCUCCUAAAGGGUAACGGAGGAGUGCGAAGGUACGCUAGGUACGGUCGGAAAUCGUGCUGAUAGUGCAAUGGCAAAAGCGUGCUUGACUGCGAGACCCACAAGUCGAGCAGAUACGAAAGUAGGUCAUAGUGAUCCGGUGGCUCUGUAUGGAAGGGCCAUCGCUCAACGGAUAAAAGGUACUCUGGGGAUAACAGGCUGAUACCGCCCA